rnacentral:sRNA from 1 species
GUUUUAUUUUUAGAGUCUGGUCAAGCUUGCGACUCUGUGGCUUAUCCCCUGCAUCCAGACCUCUCCCUGAUUGGGGGAGCGGAAAAUACCCCAGGUCCCCAGAUUUAUUUCAUGUGGUUUAAUUUACGAUGUUUGACGCACGUCGGCAAGUAAUCCUAUUGUGUGUCCUCAGGGACAACUUCUAAUGUCGUGGGAGCGCGGAGGAUCCCAGGGCUCCAUUGCGUCUUCAGUCAGUUCUUGCGCAAACCGCCGAAAGAAAUGCGCCACAAUGAAUGUUACCUGGAAUCAGGAGGAUCCUCAUGGGGAGCAUGUGAAGUAGUGGAAAGCAGUCAAAUGGCCAGUUCUUGGCCCUCAUUCGGCGGUGUUUGACCAACCAAUCCGGCGGCCUCGGUUUCUUCUGCCAUGAAUAAUCUUGACAAGGGCUCUUAGUGACCGGCAGAGAACGGCAUUGCGAAAGACAAAUGGCUCCCUGGUUAUGUCCGAACGGGCCGAUAUGUCUAGACAUUUGCUUGGCCUUGCCUUUCUUUUCACUUCCUAUGCAGAACAUCUUUGGUCCGUCCGACCACCAUCCAUGCGCCAAUUUGUAUAGAGGAUUGGAGUUCGGCACAGCAACAGCGUCACUACGAAGAGCCAAGUAAGUGGGGUCCUGUCUUGGGGAAGACGAGCAUAAGAUCUUUCCCUUGAGUAGUAGGAGAGAAAUGUUUCUGCAUGCGACGCUUCUUCUCACGAAUCUCAGUUGCAGCCUCGACUGUUUUACCACAGAUGGGGAUUGUGUCGGCAAGGAUUAUAUAUCCUAUCUCAAGAUGCAACCCAGCUGCCACAGCCUUACCAAUGUUUGGCCAACAUUAAGAUGGCGGGGUUAAACUUUUCAUGCUGGAUUAUCACCGAGUAUUUUAGUGCAGCCAGUCUCCGCAGAACUGCGGCCACUCCCCCUCCUAUCAACACGCC